GGGGCUGACUGGCUUUGACAGCGUGUAGAGGUGGUAAGCAAGCACGCAGAGGGAUGAUGGCUCUCCUCUAUAAUCUCAGACAUCGAACAUUCAAAUGGCGAAACUAACUACGCUCUCGCUGCAUAAUCGAAGUACAGUAGAUUACGCUUAAUCUCCGCCACAGUGGCAGAGACGAGACAUCACCCGAUUGCCUGGUUCCGAGACGUUUCGAUAAGGUGGUGCAGAUAAUUCGGAAAUAGGGGUUCACUUGCCUCGUGUGCGCUCCGAGAUUUAGAGGCUAAGUUUCAGAUUGGUGGUUGCGUGCCUGUCUGUUUCCGAAAACCAAGUCGCAACUAAGCGUGUAGAAAACUUAUUAGUUCCACGUUUGGACGAGGGUUCAAUCCCCUCCAGCUCCACA
rnacentral:tmRNA from 1 species